rnacentral:tRNA from 1 species
AGUAUGAGUACUGCAAAAGUAGGUUACUGCGAUAUAGUAAAAAUUAGAUAAUUUAUCUCCAUAUUA